ACGUGUGCUUUUAAGUGUUCCAUAGUACAGUCUUUUCCCAGGCUUAAGCAUGAACUACCCAGACUUAGUACGCAUUUUAAAACUCUGUGUGAUCUAUGGAGCUUGAGUGCAAGUUGGAAUGAAAGGGGUGGCCAUGCAAACCCACUAGCGGAAUUAGCAGCCCAGACUCUUGAAGUAAUGGGCCUGAACCUCGAAGUUCAGCUCUAGAUGUGAAUUUAGCCAAGCUCUUGAGCAGCAGGGUCACAUGCCUGGAUCUGAACUUCCUCAGAAUUCAAUCUGGUGCAAUAUCACCUUUAGUGUCUUCUACAUAAACAACCGCCUCCAUUGAAUUAAAGAGGGAGUGCUUACCAAAACCCCCACAUAUGGAAUACAUGGUUCCACUUGUAGCAAUGAAAAGAGUCUUAAACAGAUUCUUUUUAUUAAAAGAAACUUGAGGUAAGUGAAAUACAUCAGCAAGUACCAGCAGUAACAUGGCCAGGGUGCGUCCUUUCCCAACUGCAUAAAGACACAGAGCAGGACUUAACAUGUACAGUAGACUUUGUUUUCUGGUAGUGUUACUAUAAGGUCUUAGUCUCUGGGAUGACUGGCUGUCACACUCAUCGUGAAAAGGGGAGCUUGAAGCUGGGCCAGGUCUGUGCCUAGCUCCUCACAAGUGGCUUUUAUGUGAUGCUUCAAGUUUAGUAGGGUUGUUUGCAGGGCGGAGCCAUUUACUAUUAGAUUAUAGUCAGUUUGAAUGAAACGAACAAUUCAUAACAAACUGCUUUAAGGACAAUUUAAGCCAAAACCAGCCCCUUCGGUAAUUUGCGUCUGCUUGUCAGUCAGGCAGAGUUGGAAGGAAGACGCAACCAGCUUCUAAACUAGCAUGUGCUAACUUUGGCAGCUCUUACAUCAUAAGCUAACCUGUCUAAAAAAGAACAACACUGAAAUGUUGUAAUGCUUACAAGCAUCUUCAGAAUAUGUACUUUGUCAAGGCUCCUCAGAGCUGCACUAGCUUGUCUAUGAGUGGGUGGAAUGGAAAAGUGCUUCUCCCGAAUCUUUUAAAAUGAGGCUCUUAUUUUAAUAUCUCAGAAAUGAUUCACAUGCUUCAGCAGUGAGACCCCUAAAGGCUCCAGAAUCCUUUACCAAAGAAAUGUUUUUAAUGCAUGAGAAUGGGCAAUUCAGCUCUUUUUAUACAGUUACUAAGUACAUCAGAGCACCAGUAACACAAGCAGAUGUAAUUUCAGGGCCUACCAGCUCUUGGUGAAAAGUUGAUUUUUGACAGCUGCUACAAUGGAAAGGGCCAACAGUCAGUCUGUCCAAUAAAUCCUUACUCGUUGAGAGAAUCUGUGCUUGCAGUGGAAGGCUGUGUCUUCACUGCAGCUUGUGUAGACAUACCUGUGCUGUCUUGCUAAAAGUAGCAGUGAGGACGUGGCAGCAGGGAUAUGAAGCUAUUUUUACCCUUUGUCAGGGCCAGUGAACAUGGCUUUGGGAUGGGUCUGGUCUACACAUCAUUCGCACAACAAAUGCCUCAAACUUGUGUUGACUUUAUGUUUUAGCAAAAACUAGGCUUGUUGAUACUAGCCUACCUGUUAUGGUUUACACUGGUUUCUGACACUGCUGAGAAGAGAUAAAACUGUAUAAUAUUGUUUUACAGUGACUAUGGGACAAACAGCCAGUCUAAAUUUUAUAAUGUCUGAUACUGUUCAUUUUAAAAAAUGUUACUUCAGAUUUUCUAUAAGAAAAAAGUUGUAGAAGAUCAGACAAUUAGGCCUUGUCAAUAGUGUAACUCAAAUCGAUGUAGCUUAGCUCUACUUACCGUGGGGUCCACACUACAUGAUGUUGACUCCCCUUACUCUUCUUGAUCACAGGUGGAUUUAGCGGGUCUAGUGAAGACCCCCUAAAUUGAUCGCUGCAGUGUUGAUCCUCCGGUAAGUGUAGACAAGCCCUCAGUGAUGUGAAUGCUUUGAUUCACAUUGAGACCUAUUUCCUAUUAAAAUAAUUAAGACUGGAUGUUGUGCUGUCAUCUCAGGAUUCUGCUGUGGUUUAUAUCACCACCAGGAACCCUCAGUAAAAAUACAGGCUGGGUCUUUUUUUGGGGGAGGAGAAAUCAACCUAGCCGCCAAAGCAAUUUAAAAUCCUUGUGCAGAACUCCCAAUGAUGACAUUCUUACCAGGCCUCCUCUGUGUCAAACUUUCCAAGAAAGUUUUGGGAUAAAGUUGUUUUUUUUAAAGGGGGGGGUUUAAGUGCAGCCUUACUUAGCCAUGUCAGGCUGUCAAAUGAAUAAUAAAUAAAAGUAUUAGACAAGAAAGAAAAUAACUGACAUAAUUUGCUGACGUGUAGUAUCGAUUGAAUAGAUGGUGCUGUUACGGUAAUAGCCAUUAGCUCCUCAGUACAUGGAUGGAGGACUCCCACACAUUUAAAAUGUUAAGGGAGGGGAAAAAAGCCUGAUAUACAAAUAUUACCCAGACUCCCAUUUACAUUUUUCUAACGAGCUCAGAAAUGCCUCUGUCCACACAAGAGCCUGAGCAGCUGCGUUUUUCAUUUUAAAAACAUCACUUUCAGUAACAGAAGUACAAAAAAUUGUUGAGAGACAGAGAGCUGGUUUUAAUUUCAGUAUUUCUGUGACUUUAACUAUUGCCGCUUUCCCCCAUCUUUAUGGAAUAAUCGUUUGCUUCCUAGGUGAGACAGAAUGAAUAAGUAACGGAAUAGCCUGUGAAUGUGCAGAUAGAAUAUAAAUAUAGUUCUGCAGACACACGAGAGAGGGGACCAGAAUUAACCCGUGUGAUAGGUCAUAAUUAUUACUGUCAUAAACUGGAUACAUGGCAAAUGGUAACUUUUUCUAAGCAUUUUUCUUUUUACAGGAUACUACUUCAUCUCUGCCCUGUCUGAGACCGGGAAAGCCUGCAGCAUAGCUCCUGGAAUGAAAAUACUGAAAUAACAGUGUUCACCACUGAGCAGACAAAGGGCAACUCUGAGCCUUUUGUCGCAGGAAAAGGAAGAGGGUGGGAAACAGAUGCUCUUAUGUUGAAGGAGGUGAGUCCAUUGUUGAAAGAAUACGCACUAUCUCAGCUCGCUGGGUAGGGGAUAUAUGCUGGGUCAUGUGGACAAUGGAAUCCAUGGCAACCUCAGGAUUGGCCUGCACCAAGCUGCAAAGACAAGAGGGUUAGCAACGGCACCCAUCUCGCCCCAGCUGCUAGCCCCUUUCUCCUGGUCCAACUUGGCAGAGAAUUUUAGCAAGCGGAGUACAGCCCAGUGUGCAAACUGUAAGCCUGACGAUUUUCACCUGAUCUCAUUUCCCUGCUCUAAAGGGUAAUUGAAAUAGAGGAUUUUUAAAAGUGUCUGAACACGCCAGCAAGAGGUUUAUUACGAACUGAGCUCAAGCAGCUCUUAGAUUAACGAUGAGGACAGGCUCAGCACCAAGCAAUGCACAAUGUACACGUGAGUGCCAAUGGCGUUUUGAAGAGGAAGAAGGUCCGAAGAGUAAACUCAGGGCAGGGUCAAGGAUUGUGAUGGGUAGAAAGAGGCGGCGGCGAGCAUUGCGCUCCCUGAUCCAGAAGGCUGCUCACAGUCAUGUCAUGUGCACUCCCUGGUUGUUACCUCGCAUUCCCCUCUAACUCUAGUUUUGGGGAAAGGCUGCAAGCCUCUGGAGGCUUUCCAGUCUGUAAUAAAGUUGCAUUUUGGUACCUAACAA